UUGAACGCUGGCGGCAGGCCUAACACAUGCCAGUCGAGCGGAUGAAGGGAGCUUGCUCCUGGAUUCAGCGGCGGACGGGUGAGUAAUGCCUAGGAAUCUGCCUGGUAGUGGGGGAUAACGUCCGGAAACGGGCGCUAAUACCGCAUACGUCCUGAGGGAGAAAGUGGGGGAUCUUCGGACCUCACGCUAUCAGAUGAGCCUAGGUCGGAUUAGCUAGUUGGUGGGGUAGAGGCCUACCAAGGCGACGAUCCGUAACUGGUCUGAGAGGAUGAUCAGUCACACUGGAACUGAGACACGGUCCAGGCUCCUACGGGAGGCAGCAGUGGGGAAUAUUGGACAAUGGGCGAAAGCCUGAUCCAGCCAUGCCGCGUGUGUGAAGAAGGUCUUCGGAUUGUAAAGCACUUUAAGUUGGGAGGAAGGGCAGUAAGUUAAUACCUUGCUGUUUUGACGUUACCAACAGAAUAAGCACCGGCUAACUUCGUG
rnacentral:rRNA from 1 species